AGCAGCCGCGGUAAUUCCAGCUCCAAUAGCGUAUAUUAAAGUUGUUGCAGUUAAAAAGCUCGUAGUUGAAUUUCGGGAUCAGAGUGUCGGUCGUGCCUCGGUACGCACUGGUAUUAUUGGUUCCUACCUUCUGAAGAACCGCGAUGUCAUUAAUUUGGUGUCGUGGGGAAUCAGGACUGUUACUUUGAAAAAAUUAGAGUGUUUAAAGCAGGCUUACGCUUGAAUACAUUAGCAUGGAAUAAUGAAAUAGGACGUUUGAUUCUAUUUUGUUGGUUCUAUUUUGUUGGUUUCUAGGAUUGACGUAAUGAUUAAUAGGGAUAGUUGGGGGCAUUAGUAUUCAAUUGUCAGAGGUGAAAUUCUUGGAUUUAUUGAAGACUAACUACUGCGAAAGCAUUUGCCAAGGAUGUUUUCAUUAAUCAAGAACGAAAGUUAGGGGAUCGAAGACGAUCAGAUACCGUCGUAGUCUUAACCAUAAACUAUGCCGACUAGGGAUCGGAUGAUGUUAAUUUUUUAAUGACUCAUUCGGCGCCUUACG
rnacentral:rRNA from 1 species